ensembl:lincRNA
AACAGAACCCCCUACUGUCACUGAGACUAGGACCCCAGCUUAGAGUCCUCCCUGAUUUCCUCUUUCUUCCUCAUCCCUACCUUCUUCACUCAGUGAUUCCUCCUGCAGGUUCCUUGGAUCUCCUUCCCCCAGUCUGCUGUUCUGGUUGAGGGUCAUCUCCUCAUUUUGCAUCUGAACUGCUUCAUAACACUCACCCUGCUUCAGGUUAUGCCCCCUACUUGCUGCCAGCAGGAUCUUUCUAGAGCACAAAACAGAUUUCAUUACUUUCAUGCUUAGGAAUCUACAUGAACUUCAUUAUUUUCAGGCUGAAGUCCAAACUUCUCAGCCAAGCACUCAGCGUUUUCCACACCCAGCUUCACUUCCUGCCACUCACCACCUGCUUCUCCCCCCCAUCAUGUUCCGGUCACCCUGGACUCCCAGCUUGGAGCUCGGAACUCCCAUCCUCCGAGAUGAGGUUGCACCCUGAAAGCUGUUGGCUGCCAUGUGGGAAGAUGUAUGAGGUCAAGGUAAGAAAAAGCUUCUUUGUACUUCAGGGGAUGGGCAGAAAAUUAGACCUAUAUAGCCUAAGUAACUAUAAAAUUUUCAAGGUUUGGUAUUCACUUUGCUUUUUUUUUUUUUUUUCUCCAGGAGGGAUGAAAUUGCAUAGGCCAGUCUACAUAGCAAUGAAGAUCAUCUGCUUGAAACUCACUUGGCCAUCUUCCUACUUAAUGGGAGAAAGCCCUCAUCAAAGCAUGGACAGCUUUGGGUUUCCUGGAAAAAUGGGCUCCCCUUGUGAAGGGUGUUGGCAGCACUGUUCAGUAUUGUAAAUACUAGGAUCUGAGAGUUGAUUUUACUACAGAGUUACUGGAACUUGGGAAAUGAUAGACUUUAUUUGACUAAAAGUUUUUUUAGAAUUCAGCAUCCUAUGAUAAAAGCUGAUUAAUUUACUUCAUCUGAUACAUGCAUUAAUAAUUUGUGACACUGUUAAUAAGGUUUUAAAAAACAGUAUCCUAUUUAUAACACACCACGAGACACUACAUUCUAGGAUACCUUGUUAUUGAAAGCAAUACCACUAAAUAUGAGACAUAACUGCUUAAGAAAACAGACUCAUGAUAGAGGCCAAAGCUAAAUGGAAGCAUCGAGACCAGAAUAUAGUGGUCCUGCCCCUGCCUCAGGUUCCUGCAGAAGACAAAAUAUUCAGGUUGCUAGGUUGCAGAUUCCAAGCUGAUCUACAAGGCCUCCUGCUGAGGUGUGCUCUGUCACAGCAAAUGCCAUUCCAGCUGGUGACCUCCUUAGGUCUGGUUCAAGCCUGUCAACCAAAUCCCAGAGGAAGUGAACAAAGGAAGAAACAUGGCCAUUAAGAGUGUAGAGACUUUUAGUUCUAAUUCCUGCGGCUCUGUCGGUGACUUACUGGGUGGACUUUAUGAAUCUCAGUUUGCUCUGUUGUAAAGCAGAGACAUUAAAUCAAGUCCUUGAAGGAGCCUUGUGUGAGCUGGUGUUUGGGCAAGUGGAAAGCAGGUCAUGAAGGCUGGUCAGCUCCCUUAUUUCAGUCCUUGUUACUAAACCAGAGUGAACAUAGGAUUUCCCCCAGAGUCUUCAGAGGGCUUCACUAGCCCAGUUGUAGGGGGUCGACUGGGGGUGGUGUGGACAGGCUUUGGCACAGGCAACGUCAAUGCACAAGACUGGUUCUAAAAUGAAGAUCUAGACCUUUGUAUUCCAAUCUCCUUCCUUGCAGAGGGAGGGCCUAGGCUUGUGGAGGGCUCACUGGGCUACAGCCAGGGUCAGGAGGAUCUCACAGUGGUGCACACAUUGAGGAUAGAGGAAGAAGCUGGGGGGGCCAGCUCCAAACCUAGAUCAUUCACUUGGGGAGAGAGGAUAAGGAGGAGCAAGCGCCCAGGAUAGAAUUAAGAGGGCCAAGAGUUGAGGAGCACUACAUAGGGGAAUGACUAGAGGGGUCCUUAGGAGAAAGUGCUCAGAACAGUUUUUUUUAAACAGCACUUUUUAAUGCAUUCUUAUAUCACACAGAAAAGUAUGGGAGUUGAAACUGCCCAGUGAUGAAAUCCAGAGACAUGGACACUUUUGCCAUCUGCAUUUUCAGCACUUACUUAAUACCAGAGUUAGAAUUCUCCAGUUUUAAAAUGCACAUGUCCUGAUUACUCAGGCUUUACAAGCCAGCGAGUACAGAGGUGGUUGCAUUAAGCUGGCCCUUGAAGGCUACAAGCCGCAACCAACUUAUCUGCAAGCAUUCCAGUCUUCAGAAGAAUUCUGCUUCCUGGCUCCUGUUAUUUCUUGGAAGUUUCCAGGGAUGCUUGCAUGUGUCUAAGAAUCAACUCUGGUCACUGCUUGUUAGCAUGGCCAGUAAACAAACGGUCCUUUAGAUAUCUCAGAAGCGGCCCCUGAGCUGGCCUCUAGCCUACUGCCCAAGCUGCCCACAGGCAGGUUGCUAGGGACCCUCUGCAGCACGGUGCUGGAAGCUGGGACUCUCUGAGCCUCCACGUCGAGAACAGCUGGCCACCCCCAGCCAGGGCUGCUGCUGCUGGGAGGCUCUCACCCCAUUUGUUUCCAAGCUGAUGCUCUUGGAACCCAAGCUGCUCUCCUGGAAGUGAGACCACUGUCCUCUUCAUCCCCUUCUUCAUGUUAGAAUCAUCCAGCAGCAGAACACGGCCCUUUCAAUUCCCUUGCAGCUCUCUGUCCCCAAGACUCAUGCCUGCUGCAUGAGGGACCUGGUCAGCACAGGAUCUGGUGUUGUUCUGUAUCCAGAAUCGCCCAACUCCUCAUGCAGGGGCCCACAGCUCAGGCUGGGCCACAGCGUUAGAUUCCUAUGUCCCUUGCAGAGGACUUCUGCUCCAGGGAUUGUGUGGCCCCUGCCACGAUCUGUUUUCUGCUGGGGCCACCUCAGUUUGUCAGACACAUCCAUAGGCAUUUACACCAGAAUUCUGUCAGGAUUUAAAUCUGCGAUAUUCUUAUUUUUUUAAUAUUUUGCCAGGAGGUGCUCGGCACCUGUGAAAGCCAGAGGUGUAACUGAUCUGUGGGAUGAGCAGGUAUAUUACCUGACAUUUGUGUGGGAAGUCAGGACCCCACGAGGCCUGGACAUGGGGACACUGAUGGCAC